ACAGGUGCCUGUAAAGGCUUAAUAGGGAAGAUCGGUGAAAAACCGACGCGGUCCCGCCACUGUAAUGGAGAGCGACCUCAAGAAAUGCCACUGGAACAUUUGGUUCUGGGAAGGUUUGAGCGAGCGAUGAACCAGAGCCAGGAGAACUGCCUGUCUG
rnacentral:ncRNA from 1 species